rnacentral:misc_RNA from 1 species
UUACUAAUCUUCUUUGCCUCUGACGUGCUUUGUCGCACCUUUGAGUUGGUGACGUCAAUGGUAAAGAAGGUGGAAAUCCAUGCACGGGUGCUGCGCCCCGGCGAGUCGAUAGCUCUCAGCUGCAAGUCUUCCGAGUUUGAGAUUGUGCUGUUCCGCCCGAGGCACCACGAUCGCGCCAAAGCGGCAAAAGCCUCCGCGCUGAAAGCGGAGGUAACUGACAGUGCGCCUGUGGGAGACUCUUCUCAAGAGUCCAUAAACCACGCAACCGGCGUCAACAUCGCCACCAGCAAGUCAAAAAUACCGACCUCAUCAACGGGGAAUGAUGCAGGGCCCGCCGAAAAGAAAGGCGCUACCGGGUACUCAAUCUUGCGUCCUUCUGCGUUGGGGCGGAGGGAUGCCAGCGGGGCGGUCGACGCCGAUGAUCCGACUGUGGCCCCUUUCGCAUCGAGGGCGAUGGGCGGAGGGAACGAAGUGGGAGCGCUGGCCGACAUAGUCGCGAAUGCCCCGCUCUUUUUUGACACGGCGGUGUGCAUUUUCUACGAUGAGCUGGCUAAAAUGGACUACGUUACCACGGGGCGCACCACCACUGAUUCCAAGGGGCUUCACCACAAACCGCACCUUGUCGUGCUGGGAACGGAGCCGGCCACAGGUGGCUACUGCAACUUCAACAUUACCGGACCCAAAGGAGUGUCCUUGGGAGACGGAGAGGAUGACGCGUUCGACGAGGAUUCCGGCGUCCUUGUCAGUCGCACCGCCACGAGCAACGGACCCGUUGCCAUGGCAGCCGCGGACGGCGUUGAGGUGAAUCUGCGUCGCCUCGACAUGUGCGCCGGGUUUCUCGUUUCUGCAACAUUGUUCUCAGAGGACACGUGCUUGAGCCGCGAGCGCAAUGUGUUCUACAUGGUGAGGCGGCCGAGGAGCUCGACGCCGCUCUGCCUGGUGCCGCUGUGUAUUUACGGCACGCCCAGCAGCAGCUGCGUCUCUCUGAUGGUUCGCAAGGUUAGGGUUCACGGGGAGACUACGUGGGAGCUCGUGAACGUGAGCGAGCCCCUGCUGUGCAAGGACGUGAAGAGUCUCAUCUUGAAGCUUCAAGAGCGAGGCUUAGCGGAUCCGGCUCAUUUUGCACGCGACUAUGAGCUGAAAGCUGCAGCUAACCGAGGUGGCGACGGCGGCAGCGUGGGCAUCGAGGAGGAUGUUCUCAGUGGCAGUAGGCAAAGCAGCAGCAGCGAGCUGCACGCCUCAGCCUCGCAUAAGCGUCUCAGCUAUGCUUUCGAGCAGGAGCAGAGUCUCACGUCCAUUCGUGCAUCGCUGACGGGUGAGCGUCACUGCCCACUCCCGCAUAACCGUAGCAGUCGCACCUUCUCCACUUUACUCACUGAUGUGCCGCGAGUGGUACGAGAGGGGAGACGCCAAUACAACGUUGGCAGGUCUCAUGUGCAGACAAACUUAUUUGACGGAGACACUUCUGAAGAGGACGAAGUGCUUGACGACGCGAUGCGGGCGGUGGUGCCCUGCUACGCAGAUGCCUCGCUUGUGCGGUACGAGAAUGGCGCCUACAACGUCGGGUCAAGGGUGGGCAACCUUGUUACGCACUACGUCAGCCAUCGCGAGACGUACGGACUCGAUGCGGCCAGCCAGCGUUUGGCCGGUGGCGGGCGGCUAGGAGGUUCGAGAGACGAGCUGCUUCCAUCUCUCGGUGCGCCGCGAGCGCGCUCCUCGGCAGACUUGGUGACGCUGCUUCCGGUGCUCGAUCGCUGCCAGCCAGAUGAUAGCGAGUUUGCUGCAAGGCCCGAGCUUCCUGCAGACCUGCUGCUCACUUCGCUAGACAGGCAACUUGCUGCCAGAGCGCAGCCGCACAGCAGCUCCAUAAACGCGAAUAUGAAGAAGCGGCGAAGCACAGCCGGGCGAGCCCACCACAGCUCAUCGCUUCGCAGAUCGAGGCGUCGCAAGGGGAGCAAGCGGCCUCCUUCGGCGCGUGCUAGUGGAAGGAGCCGAUCGCAGGCGAGGAAAAAGGGAGGUGGGAAGAAAACUAAGGGCACGCGUGGGUCGAAGUCCGCGCUUGAUAUCCCAGGGUUUCGCAGUGCGAGUGCAAGCUCGAAGCGCUCCUCGUCGUCCGCAUCGGCGCACAAGCUGAAGACACGGAAAAUGCAAAGCCGUGUUUCAAGCGGCAAGUCCUGAGGUGGAAGCGGGAACCGAACGCGAUCGUCCAAACGGGCAGGUGAUAUUGCUGCGUAUUCGCACCUCUUUAAACUUCCCCACCCGGCGCAAGCUGACACAAAACGCCGGUGGAGCUUGCACCGAUUCCUCACCCCUUGUCCCCAUUGCCUCACAUGUUCAGUUGCCCCUCACACAGGAAGGGAGAAGCGGGGAGCAGGACGCUUAUUUAUGUAAACUACACCUUUCUUGCAUCUUCGGUUCUUUUUUUUCCGGCUCUCCGCCACCUUUUCUCUGGAACGCUGCACAGCCUCUUGCGUCUCUUUUUUGUUGUGAGCUGUCGAAAUGGGGGAGGGGGGUUGCCAGCUAGCGGGCGCGCACUCUCCUUUUCGGUGUUUGCAUGCUGUCCGUUCUCCUGUGUGUAGACACAGCUUUCAAGCCAAGCAGCAAAAAGAGAAGAAGCUGGUAUUUUAGUGCGACACUAGUGUGUGUGUGUGUGGGUGGGGGGUACAAACUCUAAAGUGCCGGCACCAUCGAUACGCGGCUCUUUUAUUAUUGAGGGGGGGGGGCAGCUCACACACCUGAGACAGCAAAGGCUGGACGCGUGCUCGAGGCUCAUUUCUCAAUGGCCUCCAAUAAUGCCGGACGAGCCGCGCGCACAUGUACUUGCGUAUGGGCCGGGCGUGCUCUGUUCGACAUCGUCCAUGCGAUGUCAAAAAGUUGUCGGCUGCUGCACCGUGAUGACUUCUGUCUUGUGGUGCUCACAGUAUUCACCCAGAGUCGUAGCUCAUACUGGUGACUUGAGCAGCUUUCUUGGCCUGCUGCACGAAUCCACUUGCUCUUCAGUGUUGGUUCUGCAUCUCGGUAUCGCUGCUUCCUCGACGAGGCUCAUGAAGGGUUUGCUGUCGCCUUCGGCUGUCUCUCUCACAUCCCUUUCCUCACCUUUCUGCCCUUUCGUUGGUUGGCUGUGCCCCUUUCUUGUGAGCAGUGCGCGCGGUCUCAUUG